GGUUGGUGGAAGACUGGGAAGGGUAGGGAGGUGCUGCACACUCACCUCCCCUGCUCCCCAGUCAUAAUUCAAGUCAGGUUGGUGGAAGACUGGGAAGGGUAGGGAGGUGCUGCACACUCACCUCCCCUGCUCCCCAGGUUACAUUUGUAACAUUUGUCAGGUUGGUUGUUUUUGGAGUUGCCAGGGUCAGUCAGUCAGUCAGAGCCAGUCAGUCAAGGGAAGUGUACAUUUGGAGUUAGUAGGAUGAGUCAGAUUGGUGGUGGAAGUCAAACUGGGAGACUGGGAAGAGUAGGGAGGUGCUGCACACUCACCUCCCGUGCUCCCCAGGGCCAGUCAGUUUGGUGAUUACAUAUCUGUAAGUCAGUCAGGUUGGUGUUGUUGUUUUUGGAGUUGCCAGGGUCAGUCAGUCA